AUUGAACGCUGGCGGCAGGCUUAACACAUGCAAGUCGAGCGGGGGGAGGUAGCUUGCUACCUAACCUAGCGGCGGACGGGUGAGUAAUGCUUAGGAAUCUGCCUAUUAGUGGGGGACAACAUUUCGAAAGGGAUGCUAAUACCGCAUACGCCCUAAGGGGGAAAGCAGGGGACCUUCGGACCUUGCGCUAAUAGAUGAGCCUAAGUCGGAUUAGCUAGUUGGUGGGGUAAAGGCCUACCAAGGCGACGAUCUGUAGCGGGUCUGAGAGGAUGAACCGCCACACUGGGACUGAGACACGGCCCAGACUCCUACGGGAGGCAGCAGUGGGGAAUAUUGGACAAUGGGGGGAACCCUGAUCCAGCCAUGCCGCGUGUGUGAAGAAGGCCUUUUGGUUGUAAAGCACUUUAAGCGAGGAGGAGGCUACUGGUAUUAAUACUACUGGAUAGUGGACGUUACUCGCAGAAUAAGCACCGGCUAACUCUGUGCCAGCCGCCGCCGUAAUAC
rnacentral:rRNA from 1 species